rnacentral:rRNA from 1 species
CAAUAGCGUAUAUUAAAGUUGUUGCAGUUAAAAAGCUCGUAGUUGGAUUUCUGGUCGGAAGCUCCUGUCCUCUGAUGAGCGUACAAGUGCGUCCUACCAUCCUUCUGUUAACCUUUAAGGCUUUCGCGGCUUUCUAGGGGCUCAGAUAUUUUACCUUGAGAAAAUUAGAGUGUUUCAGGGAGGCUAGCGCCGGAAUACAUUAGCAUGGAAUAAUGGAAUAGGACUUUUGCCUCUUCUGUUGGUCAUGAGGCUCGAGUAAUGAUUAAUAGGGAUAGUUGGGGGCAUUAGUACUUAACUGUCAGAGGUGAAAUUCUCGGAUUUGUUAAAGACUAACUUAUGCGAAAGCAUUUGCCAAGGAUGUUUNCAUUAA